rnacentral:rRNA from 1 species
GUCGUAAAACGUUCGUAGCCGGUUCGGUAAAGUCUUGGGUAAUCGGGGGCUAACCUCCCGACUCCGAGAGACUGCCGAACUUGGGACCGGGAGAGGCUAGAGGUACUUCUGGGGUAGGGGUAAAAAUCCUGUAAUCCCUAGAAGGACCACCGGUGGCGAAGGCGUCUAGCUAGAACGGAUCCGACGGUGAGGGACGAAGCCCUGGGUCGCAAACGGGGAUUAGAUACCCCGGUAGUCCAGGGUGUAAACGCUGCAGACUUGGUGUUGGAGGCCCUUUGGGGGCAUCCAGUGCCGGAGAGAAGUUGUUAAGUCUGCUACUUGGGGAGUACGUCCGCAAGGAUGAAACUUAAAGGAAUUGGCGGGGAGCACCGCCAACGGGAGGAGCGUGCGGUUUAAUUGGAUUCAACACCGUAAAACUCACCAGGGAAGACUGUUACAUGAAGGCCGGGCUAAAGACUCUGCCAGAUUUUCAGAGAAGAGGUGCAUGG